AUCCUGGCUCAGGACGAACGCUGGCGGCGUGCCUAAUACAUGCAAGUCGAGCGGACAGAAGGGAGCUUGCUCCCGGAUGUUAGCGGCGGACGGGUGAGUAACACGUGGGUAACCUGCCUGUAAGACUGGGAUAACUCCGGGAAACCGGAGCUAAUACCGGAUAGUUCCUUGAACCGCAUGGUUCAAGGAUGAAAGACGGUUUCGGCUGUCACUUACAGAUGGACCCGCGGCGCAUUAGCUAGUUGGUGAGGUAACGGCUCACCAAGGCGACGAUGCGUAGCCGACCUGAGAGGGUGAUCGGCCACACUGGGACUGAGACACGGCCCAGACUCCUACGGGAGGCAGCAGUAGGGAAUCUUCCGCAAUGGACGAAAGUCUGACGGAGCAACGCCGCGUGAGUGAUGAAGGUUUUCGGAUCGUAAAGCUCUGUUGUUAGGGAAGAACAAAUAACAAGAGUAACUGCUUGC
rnacentral:rRNA from 1 species